rnacentral:rRNA from 1 species
AGCUCCAAUAGCGUAUAUUAAAGUUGUUGCAGUUAAAACGCUCGUAGUCGGAUUUCGGGGCGGGGCCGCCGGUCUGCCGAUGGGUAUGCACUGGUAGACCCGUCCUUUCUUCCGGAAGCUGACCCUUGUCUUAACUGAUUGGGGUCGGAGGCCGGGACGUUUACUUUGAAAAAUCAGAGUGUUUCAAGCAGGCAUUUCGCUUUUGCAUGGAUUAGCAUGGGAUAAUGAAAUAGGACUUUG